rnacentral:rRNA from 1 species
UACGAAGGGGGGCUAGCGUUGCUCGGAAUCAUUGGGCGUAAAGCGCGUGUAGGCGGUCCGGUAAGUCCGCUGUGAAAGUCGAGGGCUCAACCCUCAAAUGCCGGUGGAUACUGUCGGGCUUGAGUACGGGAGAGGCGAGUGGAAUUCCUGGUGUAGCGGUGAAAUGCGCAGAUAUCAGGAGGAACACCGAUUGCGAAGGCAGCUCGCUGGAACGUUACUGACGCUGAGACGCGAAAAGCGUGGGGAGCAAACAGG